rnacentral:rRNA from 1 species
CCUACGGGUGGCAGCAGUGAGGAAUAUUGGGCAAUGGAGGCAACUCUGACCCAGCCAUGCCGCGUGAGUGAAGAAGGUUUUCGGAUUGUAAAGCUUUUUCGGUUGGGACGAUGAUGACGGUAGCCUCUACAGAAGGCCCGGCUAACUUCGGGCCAGCAGCCGCGGUAAUACGAAGGGGGCCAGCGUUGGUCGGAAUUACUGGGCGUAAAGGGGAUGUAGGCGGUUUAAUAAGUUAGUGGUGAAAUCCCCGGGUUUAACUUUGGAAUUGCCAUUAAAACUGUUAGACUAGAGUGACAGAGAGGAAAGUGGAAUGCCUAGUGUAGAGGUGAAAUGCGUAGAGAUUAGGUAGAACACCAGUGGCGAAGGCGACUAUCUGGC